rnacentral:lncRNA from 1 species
CCCGGCCCUCCCGUCACAGGCAUGGUGACCCCGGUCCAGCUUUCCAACCCCAAUCUCAGCUACCACUCAGACGACACCCGCCGGCUGAGCGCAGACCUGCGCCUUAGGUCUCAAGACCGCUGAGAAAGAAACCACCUUCCCUUUUGCAGGUGAGAACACUGGGACCAGGAGAUCAAAUGACGAACGAAAGUCACACUGAAUGGGGUCAAAUACACCUGGGACGGACCAGGCUGGCCGCCUCCGAGGCCCGAAGCUGGGCGGUCUCACGAGGUCCCCGCAGCCCGCCUGUCCCCGAGGGCUCCGAGGGGGUCGCGCUGAGACGCCCUUGGGUGAGAGGUCCCAGGUUCCCCACCGCAGAGACCCAGAGACUCCGAGUCAAGACCCAACGUCAAGGCCGACCCAGAGCAGGCGGUGCAGGCGACAGUCUGCAAGCCUUCCUGAGGACUGCUGAAUUUCCUCCUGGGCACCGUGGAGAGCCACUGUGGGAUUUUUAAGCUACUUUUGAGAAAUUAGUUCAGGUCUUGAAAAUCGCUUUCAUUUUGCACAACUCAAGGUAAUGUCUGAGCACCAUGUAUCAAAUAGCUCCUAUUCCCUGUUUUUUGCAGAGAAUAAUGUGACCUUGUGAAUCUGAUAUAAAAAGCAAGUUUAACUAGAUAAUUCACUUAUUAAAUAAUGAAUGGUAGCUGAUAAUUUAGUGAAUCCUAUAGGGAAUUUUUAGAACCCAUUCAUAAAUUUUUUUGAUGAAUAACCCUUUGCUAACUUAUUUGAUCAUGUUUAGCUUUUUAUUGUAUAACUGAUCCAUAUUAAAUACAGAAUCUUUAGAAAAGAAAACUAGCAAAGAGAAAGAAAUAUAAAAAUUUCCUAUUGCCCUCAUUAGCCAAAGAUGAUCAUUAUUAAUAUUUUGGCAUAUACCUUUUUGGUUAAAAUUUCCAAAAUUAUACUUACUUGAAUUAGGCAUAUGUCUUUAGCACUGAACUCUGACAAGAUAAAAGGCCUGUCAUGAGAACUUUACUUAAAAUUCAAAAGGAAUAAAAUUAAAAAAAUCCUAACCCAACCCACAAUCCCAUUUUUAGUUCAGUUUAAAUAUGUAAUUCAGAUUAAAAAUAUAGGAAAUCUUUUGUGGAUUGCUUUCUCAAAUUGCAAUAACAAACUUUUCUGUAUAUUUUGCCUUCUUUGCAUCAUAAGCAAUAAAUCAC